GGUGGUCACCGCCUCCGCCGUCGGCCUGGACGACUCCGUGGUGCUCACCUCCAUCGGCCGCGCCGUGGCGUACGACUUCCUCGUGGUCGCGACGGGGCGCACGUGCAACCGGCCGCAGAAGCGGUCGGACCGGCUGGAGAUGUUCCAGCGCGACAAGGACCGGAUCGACGCGGCGGAGUCGGUGCUGAUCGUCGGCGGCGGGCCCAUCGGCGUGGAGCUGGCGGCGGAGAUCGUGAUGAAGAGCCCCGAGAAGCGCGUCACCAUCGUCCACGGCGCGCCGCGGCUGCUCAAGGUCAUGGGCGCCCGGGCGUCGGCCAAGGCGCUCGAGUGGCUGCGGUCCAAGAACGUCACCGUGCUGCUGGACCAGACGGUGGACCUGGCGUCGGCCACCCCGGACACCCGGACGUUCACCACGUCGGCGGGGGAGACGCUGGAGGCCGACUGCCACUUCGUGUGCACGGGCCGGCCCGUGGCGUCCGGCUGGCUCGGCGGGACGAUCCUCGGGGAGCACGUGGACGAGGAGGGCCACCUCCGGGUGGACGACCACCUGCGCGUCGGCGGGCUGCGGAACGUGUUCGCCGUCGGCGACAUCACGGACGUGCCGGAGGCCAAGCAGGGCAACCUGGCGCAGCGGCAGGCGAUGGUGGUGUCCCGGAACCUCCGCCUGCUGGUCAAGGGUGCCCCCCGGGAGGAGAAGCUGCACCGGUACAAGCCGUCCCCGAGGACGUCCAUGACCGUGACGCUCGGCCAGCGCGACGCGCUGGCGGAGCUGCCGUUCAUGACGCUCAUCGGGCACAUCCCCGGUGCCGUCAAGCCACGGGACCUCUUCAUCACGAGGACGCGCAGGAUGAUGGGGAUCAAGAGCAAACCCUACGGCACGAUGCCGCACGUCAUGUGAGGGAGAUCCCAUCUAUCGACGAUGACGUCCCCGGCCCCGGUCCGGCGAUCCUUCAAUUCCGAUGACCAAACGGAGACUAGCUAGCUAGGCUGAGGCUCUGUCUCUGGAUUUUGCCACGUUCUAGUUCUAGCUGA
rnacentral:misc_RNA from 1 species